AUCCUUCUAGUAUAAUAUACAUUUUAUUUCCAAUAAAAAAAUUAUAAGGAUA
rnacentral:tRNA from 1 species